CCUACGGGAGGCAGCAGUAGGGAAUUUUCCACAAUGGGCGCAAGCCUGAUGGAGCAACACCGCGUGAGUGAAGAAGGGUUUCGGCUCGUAAAGCUCUGUUGGUGGAGAAGAACGUGCGUGAGAGUAACUGUUCACGCAGUGACGGUAACCAACCAGAAAGUCACGGCUAACUACGGGCCAGCAGCCGCGGUCAUACGUAGGUGGCAAGCGUUAUCCGGAUUUGUUGGGCGUAAAGCGAGCGCAGGCGGUUGCGUAGGUCUUAUGUGAAAGGCGUCGGGUUAACCGAAGAAGUGCAUCGGAAACCGGGCGACUUGAGUGCAGAAGAGGACAGUGGAAUUCCAUGUGUAGCGGUGGAAUGCGUAGAUAUAUGGAAGAACACCAGUGGCGAAGGCGGCUGUCUGGUCUGCAACUGACGCUGAGGCUCGAAAGCAUGGGUAGCGAACAGGAUUAGAUACCCCUGUAGUC
rnacentral:rRNA from 1 species